AACGCACAUUGCACUCUGUUUCGGCAGAGUAUGCCUGUUUGAGAAUCUAUAGUAUUCAUUCUCCAACUUUGGGUAUUUAUACCUAGGGAAGGAGAGAUUUGAGGCGUCGCACUUACCCUGCGUGCCUUUAAAACUAUUGCUGCUGGAUACUGUCAAGUAACGGAAAAGUAUGUGUAUGGAACUUCGGUUUCUCUAAUACUUAGUACGGGUGAUGGUGCUUGUCCGGCACUCAACUAUUAAAGUUAUCCUUUCGGGGGUAACUUGAACCAUGGUCUCAAAUCAGGCAGGAAGACCCGCUGAACUUAA
rnacentral:misc_RNA from 1 species